UGGCAUGAAGGUGGAACAAGCAAGGAUGGU
rnacentral:piRNA from 1 species